rnacentral:rRNA from 1 species
ACGAACGCUGGCGGCGUGCUUAACACCUGCCAGUCGAACGGAAAGGCCCUGCUUUUGUGGGGUGCUCGAGUGGCGAACGGGUGAGUAACACGUGAGUAACCUGCCCUUGACUUUGGGAUAACUUCAGGAAACUGGGGCUAAUACCGGAUAGGAGCUCCUGCUGCAUGGUGGGGGUUGGAAGGUUUCGGCGGUUGGGGAUGGACUCGCGGCUUAUCAGCUGGUUGGUGGGGUAGUGGCUUACCAAGGCUUUGACGGGUAGCCGGCCUGAGAGGGUGACCGGCCACAUUGGGACUGAGAUACGGCCCAGACUCCUACGGGAGGCAGCAGUGGGGAAUAUUGCACAAUGGGCGGAAGCCUGAUGCAGCAACGCCGCGUGCGGGAUGACGGCCUUCGGGUUGUAAACCGCUUUCGCCUGUGACGAAGCGUGAGUGACGGUAAUGGGUAAAGAAGCACCGGCUAACUACGUG